AUGUCUGCAGAGUCCAGGACGUGGCUCCCGCCCAGAACCCGAUGCUGAGGGCUGUGGCUGAGACCAAAGGCGUGCCCAGACUAGCUCUUGCCCCCCUGCAGACCGGGGGCUGCCCAGGUCAUCAGCUUGCACCAGUCUUCAGGCAGUGCGGGCAGCGGGAGCAAGAGCAGGCUGGACAAUGGUAA
rnacentral:lncRNA from 1 species